GGGUCAGUAGGUUGGUCGUGCCACCGGUACGUACUGGUCUCACUGAUUCCUCCUUCCUGAAGAACCGUAAUGCCAUUAAUUUGGUGUUGCGGGGAAACAGGACUGUUACUUUGAAAAAAUUAGAGUGCUUAAAGCAAGCUAACGCUUGAAUACAUUAGCAUGGAAUAAUGAAAUAGGACGAUCGAUCCUAUUUUGUAGGUUUCUAGGAUUGACGUA
rnacentral:rRNA from 1 species